AGUAUGAUUGCUGGAGCAUAUGGUAAAAGUAUGUAUAGUUUUAUAAGAAACUGCCCAACUGCCUUCCAAUAUGGCUGUACCAUUUUGCAUGCCCACCAGCAAU
rnacentral:pre_miRNA from 1 species